CGCCACGCCCCUCCUCAGGGCGGAAGUGCCUGGUGGGAAGCCCGGCUUGGGAGGGUCCUGGAUAGCGAACUCAGCCGGCGUCAAGCUCCUGCUUGCUGAUGUGAUGGGAUGCAGCAGCUCAGCGCUCAGUUACUUUAAACUUGUCUGUGGUCCCGUGUUCCUGAGGAUGCACACCGUGUUCACCCUUCUAACAAAAGAAGGAGCCGGUCAGCCUGGGACUUCACUUCAUCUUGGCCUCUGCAAAGGGAUCUCAAGGAAACCUGAAGAGAAGGAUGGAGAGGGCUUCCUCCACUGCAUCGCAACGUGCCUGUGAUAAGGAAGGGCCCAGAAGGAGGCUCGGGUACAAUUCACCGUCGGGAACUCACUUAAAGUUGAUGGCAUUGUGAUAGCGAUAGGGCAGACAGGUCAGGUUCAAAAAUAUCCUGACUCCAACCCCUUGAAAGUCACCUGGGAGAAAAUGAUUAAGGCAUAGCUUUUGCCUAUAGCAGGUUGCAAGACCCUCUCCUGGCAUAAAAUUUGUUGUGUAAGUUAAAUACACAGAUAAAUUCAGAAGAAUUGUUUCAGAAUAUGAAUUUAAGAAAGGAUCUCAAACUAGAAAAGAGAUAUAAGAAAGUCGUAGGUAUGGAAAUAUAUUUUAGUAUGGAAAAUUAGUAGGUAAAACAAAUGUUUCUACAUGAGAAAGUAUUUUAUAUGGUAAAUUAAUAUUCUUGUGCUAAAGUCCAAGAAGAAAGAGGGCAAAACUAAGAAAAUAAACAAGUUGUGAACGUCUAAGUAAGUUGAAGAAGUUUUGUGGAAAGCAAAUCUCAAAAAGUCUGGGUAUGUGAUUAAAUUGGCUGUACUUAGCACAGUCAGU